CAAGUCGAGGGGCAGCAUGGUGUAGCAAUACACUGAUGGCGACCGGCAAACGGGUGCGGAACACGUACGCAAUCUACCCAAAACUGAUGAAUAGCCCUCCGAAAGGAGGAUUAAUACAUCGUAAGAUAAUGAAGUGGCAUCGCUUUAUUAUUAUAGCUCCGGCGGUUUUGGAUGAGCGUGCGCCUGAUUAGGUAGUUGGCGGGGUAACGGCCCACCAAGCCUGCGAUCAGUAACUGGUGUGAGAGCACGACCAGUCACACGGGCACUGAGACACGGGCCCGACUCCUACGGGAGGCAGCAGUAAGGAAUAUUGGUCAAUGGACGCAAGUCUGAACCAGCCAUGCCGCGUGAAGGAUGAAGGUCCUCUGGAUUGUAAACUUCUUUUAUAUGGGAAGAAAUUCUCGCAUUCUUGCGGGAUUGACGGUACCAUAGGAAUAAGCACCGGCUAACUCCGUGCCAGCAGCCGCGGUAAUACGGAGGGUGCAAGCGUUAUCCGGAUUCACUGGGUUUAAAGGGUGCGUAGGAGGGCAGGUAAGUCAGUGGUGAAAUCUCCAAGCUUAACUUGGAAACUGCCGUUGAUACUAUCUGUCUUGAAUAUUGUGGAGGUGAGCGGAAUAUGUCAUGUAGCGGUGAAAUGCUUAGAUAUGACAUAGAACACCAAUUGCGAAGGCAGCUCGCUACACAUAUAUUGACUCUGAGGCACGAAAGCGUGGGGAUCAAACAGGAUUAGAUACCCUGGUAGUCCACGCCCUAAACGAUGGAUACUCGACAUACGCGAUACACUGUGUGUGUCUGAGCGAAAGCAUUUAAGUAUCCCACCUGGGAAGUACGACCGCAAGGUUGAAACUCAAAGGA
rnacentral:rRNA from 1 species